rnacentral:lncRNA from 1 species
GCGAGGCUGGUUUCGUUUGUUUGGCUGCUUGCAUGGUUGAGGUUGUUGAUUUUGGUGAGGAAUUGCAGUCACUGCAUUGGCUUGCUGACUCCUCUACUCUUGCUGUUUGUGGUGGUUGAGGAAGUGAUGGUGGUCGGUGGAGGAGGCGGCCGCAGCAUGGCCUCCGGCCGCGUCGCUGGCGGUGGUGGAGAGUAGUUCGAGCUCCUUCUGGCGGAGGAGGAGUAGCAUGCGGUCGUUGUCGAGGCGGAGGCGGUCGUUGUCGAGCUUCAUGCGCUCCAUCUCGUGCUCCUUGUUGGUGCUGAAGCGCAGCCACUUGAAGCGCUGCCGCUCCAGCUGGAACGCCCGGCACUGAUACCCCACCCGCUGCUCCUCCAGCUCCGCCGCUCUCCUCCUCA